rnacentral:rRNA from 1 species
GACAGAGGGGCAAGCGUUGCUCGGAAUUACUGGGCGUAAAGGGCGCGUAGGCGGGAUGGCAAGUCGGUCGUGAAAUCCCUACGGCCUCAACCGAGGAACGUCGAUCGAUACUGCUGUUCUUGAGGAUUUGCAGAGGAGACUGGAAUUCCCGGUGUAGCGGUGAAAUGUGUAGAGAAUCGGGAGGAACACCGGUGGCGAAGG